AAGUCGUAACAAGGUUUCCGUAGGUGAACCUGCGGAAGGAUCAUUAUCGUAUCUCUGGUGGCGCGGGCGCUCCCCGCUCCGGGCCGAAAAAACCGUGCAGCGGGACGCCUGUGACACCCCAACCUUUGCAUACCCACCGUGAACCUUUACGGCAGAGGGUGCCGGCGAGAGCUGGUGCCCUGCGCCGAAUUUUUACCAAAACUCCAGUUUUUACUUUGAAUGCAUGUCUUUGGUGGACUCAGUUCUGCCCAAGAAAAUAAACAACUUUCAACAACGGAUCUCUUGGCUCUC
rnacentral:misc_RNA from 1 species